rnacentral:rRNA from 1 species
GACGAACGCUGGCGGCGUGCUUAACACAUGCAAGUCGAACGGAAAGGCCCUGCUUUUGUGGGGUGCUCGAGUGGCGAACGGGUGAGUAACACGUGAGUAACCUGCCCUUGACUUUGGGAUAACUUCAGGAAACUGGGGCUAAUACCGGAUAGGAGCUCCUGCUGCAUGGUGGGGGUUGGAAAGUUUCGGCGGUUGGGGAUGGACUCGCGGCUUAUCAGCUUGUUGGUGGGGUAGUGGCUUACCAAGGCUUUGACGGGUAGCCGGCCUGAGAGGGUGACCGGCCACAUUGGGACUGGGAUAAGGCCCCGACUCCCACGGGAGGCAGGAGUGGGGAAUAUUGCACAAUGGGCGGAAGCCUGAUGCAGCAACGCCGCGUGCGGGAUGACGGCCUUCGGGUUGUAAACCGCUUUCGCCUGUGACGAAGCGUGAGUGACGGUAAUGGGUAAAGAAGCACCGGCUAACUACGUG